GAUGAACGCUGGCGGCGUGCCUAAUACAUGCAAGUAGGACGAGUUGCGAACGGGUGAGUAACGCGUGGUAACCUAACUAUUCGAGGGGGAUAACUAUUGGAAACGAUAGCUAAUACCGCAUACCAUCGGAUGUGCCCAGAUGGGAUUAGCUAGUAGGUGGGGUAACGGCUCACCUAGGCGACGUUCCCUAACUGGUCUGAGAGGAUGACCCUCCACACUGGAACUGAGACACGGUCCAGACUCCUACGGGAGGCAGCAGUGGGGAAUAGUGCACAAUGGGCGCAAGCCUGAUGCAGCCAUGCCGCGUGUAUGAAGAAGGCCUUCGGGUUGUAAAGUACUUUCAGCGAGGAGGCGUUACUCGCAGAAGAAGCACCGGCUAACUCCGUGCCAGCAGCCGCGGUAAUAC
rnacentral:rRNA from 1 species